rnacentral:lncRNA from 1 species
CCAGGGGUGUGGAAAUAUUUGCUGUGGGCACUUGUCCCUGGGCAAGUAAAACUGUAAAGUUAACUUGUCCGGAAAAAAAGUUACUUGCCCUGAUGGUCCCAAUAAAUAUUGAAGUAUUUCAUUGUAGUUAAUAUAUGAUUCUUAGUACUGUUACAACUGCAUCACAAACAAGUGAAAUCCAUUUGUUUAUUAUGUGUAAAAAUUUAGUAAAGUAGGUCAACAUCUAUGGGACAAAAACCUUACAGCAAACCAACCAAUGAAAUAACAUGUAAAGGUAAUUUUUGAAGCAGUUUUGGAAUAAAAAUUGUAGCCAG